GGGCGCGUAGCUCAGGUGGAUAGAGCACCUGCCUUCUAAGCAGGUGGUCGCAGGUUCGAGUCCUGCCGCGCCUACCA
rnacentral:tRNA from 1 species